rnacentral:rRNA from 1 species
UACGUAGGGGGCAAGCGUUGUCCGGAAUCAUUGGGCGUAAAGGAGCGCGUAGGCGGCCCGAUAAGUCCGCUGUGAAAGUCAAAGGGCUUAACCCUUGAAUGCCGGUGGAAACUGUCGGGCUAGAGUCCGGAAGAGGCGAGUGGAAUUCCUGGUGUAGCGGUGAAAUGCGCGGAUAUCAGGAGGAACACCGAUGGCGAAGGCAGCUCGCUGGGACGGUACUGACGCUGAGGCGCGAAAGCGUGGGGAGCGAACAGG